rnacentral:rRNA from 1 species
UACGUAGGUGGCAAGCGUUGUCCGGAUUUAUUGGGCGUAAAGCGAGCGCAGGCGGUUUCUUAAGUCUGAUGUGAAAGCCCUCGGCUCAACCGAGGAAGGUCAUUGGAAACUGGGAAACUUGAAUGCAGAAGAGGAGAGUGGAAUUCCAUGUGUAGCGGUGAAAUGCGUAGAUAUAUGGAGGAACACCAGUGGCGAAGGCGACUCUCUGGUCUGUAAUUGACGCUGAGGCUCGAAAGCGUGGGGAGCAAAC